UCUGCUUGAUUCCUUGUUUCUUGUCACGUUUAAUAGUUUGGUGUUUGAACCUGACACAUAGAGAUCUUCGUCCAGAAGGAAAGGCGAAUGGACUUCAUUUACAAGUAAAGACGAUGACGUCAUCUAGCGACUUCUGGCGACUUUUACAACAGCCAAUAGCUACUCUCCUUACUGAGGAGGUCAUGACACUGUUCAGCACCAGACGUCCUCCAAGCACCGCCUCACCAUUUCCACCAUGUGGAGCCAAAUUCAAACCCCAAAUGAAUUGAGUGGACUAACAGUUGAACAUGUUGCUGCAUGUCUUGUUUAGCCGAGAGCAGAAUGUCAGGCUGUGUGAUCCAACACUUGAUGGCUUCCUAAAAGAAGCGUGGACACUUCGUGAUCAGAUACGACCGACAGACGAUUCUGGAUGUGGAUAGAUCGGGCCGUUAUAGGCUGAAAGAUGCGGGUACUUUCGACCUCCUCGCUAGCAUGGGGAUUCUUCGCCGUCUACAUCCAGCGGCCUCGAAAGCAGCGGAGUUAAGUGCCAGCGAGGACCGUCAACGGAAGACACGUAAGCGGUGUGAGCGGAAGCAGAAGCGGGGAUGCCGAGCGGGGCUAACAACAAAGCGAAAGGCUAAUCCUCAAAGAAGCGCUAG